UUUCGAUUCGCCUUGCAGGGAGAUGGCGUAGUUACAAAAAUUUAAAAAGGAUAACGAUAGUUUAGGCUGGGAGUUUUACUAAAAAUGCUUUAGGAUAAAGUUUGCCACGCGGCGGGUGGGGGUCGUUCAUCACGAUGUGGUGGCGACAUGGGAUUUAAGAAAUUCAAACGAAUUUAAGAAAUUUAAACAGAUUUAAGAAAUUUCAACAGUUUUCAACAAUUUAAACAGAUUAGAAAAUUUAAACAACUUGAUAAGAAAAUCAUCAUCAUGGUCCCCUAACAACCUAAUAAUUUUAAAAACCAUGAUUGGGUUAUAAAAUAACGCUGAAAUUUGAGAUUUAACACGCGUUUUGCUCGCUUCACGUUUGGAUUGAGGAAGCGUGCAACGCCAGCAAAUCCAUAGGAAUCUCUUGCAUCCUUCACCUUGCUCGUCCGCAUGACACACGGCCACCGUCUGUA